AGGACGUGUGGUUCUAAUUUUUGUGGUUUUCUAGGGAACCGCCGUAAAUGAUUAAUAGGGACAUCGGGGGCAUCAGUAUUCAAUUGUCAGAGGUGAAAUUCUUGGUAUUUAUUGAAAGACUAACUACUGCGAAAGCAUUUGCCAAGGAUGUUUUCAUUAAUCAGGAACGAAAGUUAGGGGAUCGAAGACGAUCAGAUACCGUCGUAGUCUUAACCAUAAACUAUGCCGAUUAGGGAUCGGACGGUGUUAUUUUUUGACCCGUUCGGCACCUUACGAUAAAUCAAAAUGUUUGGGCUCCUGGGGGAGUAUGGUCGCAAGGCUGAAACUUAAAGAAAUUGACGGGAGGGCACCACCAGGGGUGGAGCCUGCGGCUUAAUUUGACUCAACACGGGGAAACUCACCAGGUCCAGACACGAUG
rnacentral:ncRNA from 1 species